rnacentral:rRNA from 1 species
CGGUUUCCCCUUUGGGGCGGGUUCACAGGUGGUGCAUGGUUGUCGUCAGCUCGUGUCGUGAGAUGUUGGGUUAAGUCCCGCAACGAGCGCAACCCUCGUUCCAUGUUGCCAGCACGUCGUGGUGGGGGACUCAUGGGGAGACUGCCGGGGGUCAACUCGGAGGAAGGUGAGGACGACGUCAAAAUCAUCAUGCCCCCUUAUGUCUUUGGGGCUUCACGCAUGCUACAAUGGCCGGUACAAUGGGGUUUGCGAUACUGUGAGGUGGGAGCUAAUCCCCAAAAAAGCCGGUCUCAGUUCGGAUUGGGGGUCUGCAACUCGACCCCCAUGAAGUCGGAGUCGCUAGUAAUCGCAGAUCAGCAACGCUGCGGUGAAUACGUUUCCCGGGGCCUUGUACACACCGCCCCGUCAAGUCACGAAAAGUCGGUAACACCCGAAGCCGGUGGCCUAACCCUUGUGGGGGGGGAGCCGUCGAAGGUGGGACCAGCGUUUGGG